GUAACCUACAGCUUUUACAACGCUGUUCGCCCGGGAACUACGAGCGUAAGCUUAAAACCCAAAGGACUUGACGGUGCUUUAUAUCCCCCUAGAGGAGCCUGUCCUAGAACCGAUAAUCCCCGUUAAACCUCACCUUUUCUUGCUCAUUCCGCCUAUAUACCGCCGUCUCCAGUCUACCUUGUAAAGGACCCAUAGUAGGCGAAAUCGGCUCAGCCCCAGACGACAGGUCGAGGUGUAGCGUAUGAAAAGGGAAGAGAUGGGCUACAUUCAGUGAAACACUGAAUACGGAAAGCUAAUUGAAAUAUUGACUUGAAGGAUUUAGCAGUAGUAAGUGGAGAAU
rnacentral:rRNA from 1 species